rnacentral:rRNA from 1 species
UGAGCCCUACGGGACGCAGCAGUGGGGAAUAUUGCACAAUGGGGGAAACCCUGAUGCAGCAACGCCGCGUGAAGGAAGACGGUUUUCGGAUUGUAAACUAUUGUCGUUAGGGAAGAUAAAAGACUGUACCUAAGGAGGAAGCCCCGGCUAACUAUGUGCCAGCAGCCGCGGUAAUACAUAGGGGGCAAGCGUUAUCCGGAAUUAUUGGGUGUAAAGGGUGCGUAGACGGAAGAACAAGUUGGUUGUGAAAUCCCUCGGCUCAACUGAGGAACUGCAACCAAAACUAUUCUCCUUGAGUGUCGGAG